UACCAUAAUUUUCCGGCAACCUA
rnacentral:siRNA from 1 species